rnacentral:rRNA from 1 species
ACGUGGGUGGACCUCGCCCUUAGCUCUGGGAUAAGCCUGGGAAACUGGGUCUAAUACCGGAUAUGACUCCAUGACGCAUGUUGUGGGGUGGAAAGCCUUGUGCGGCUAGGGAUGGGCCCGCGGCCUAUCAGCUUGUUGGUGGGGUGAUGGCCUACCAAGGCGACGACGGGUAGCCGGCCUGAGAGGGCGACCGGCCACACUGGGACUGAGACACGGCCCAG